UACGUAGGGGGCUAGCGUUGUCCGGAAUCACUGGGCGUAAAGGGCGUGUAGGCGGUCAAGUAAGUGGAAUGUGAAAGCCCCCGGCUUACCCGGGGAUCUGCAUCCCAAACUGCUUGGCUUGAGUACGGGAGAGGAUAGGGGAAUUCCUGGUGUAGCGGUGAAAUGCGUAGAUAUCAGGAGGAACACCGGUGGCGAAGGCGCCUAUCUGGCCCGAUACUGACGCUGAGGCGCGAAAGCUAGGGGAGCAAACGGG
rnacentral:rRNA from 1 species